GGGGUGGAGAAGGAGAGAUGCCGGCUUAGGGCUCCCCGCCCACCCCCAGACCUGCCCGGCCCGGCCCGACAGGUUGACGGCAGUAGAGCGAGAGAAUCUUCGCUCCCCGAUCAGGGAUCGAACCCGUGCCCCCUGCAGUGGAAGCCCGGAUUCUUAACCACUGGACCACCAGGGAAUUCUCUCUGCAUCGUGAUUCACGACAGUGAAAAGGGGGAAACAACCCAAGUGACCAUCAACGGAUGGAUAAACAAAGGUGGUCCAUCCACGCAGUGAAAUGAUUCAGCCUUAAAAAGGAAAGAGAUCCUGACACCUGCUACACCAUGGAUGUACCUGAAGGACAUGAUGCUCAGUGAGAAGCCAGACACAGAAGGACAAAUACUGUGUGAUUCCACUCACAUGGAGUCCCUGGAGCAGUGAAAUCCAUAGAAAAUAGGAUGGUGGGGGCCAGGGGCUGGGGGAGGGGGUGGGGAGUUAUUGAUUAAUGGGUACGGAGUUUCUGUUUGAGGUGAUGAAAAUGUUUUGGAGACAAUUACUGCUGACGGUUGCACAACAUUGCAAAUGAAACUAAUGUCACCGAACUGUAUAUUUAAAAAUGGUGAAGCUGGUAAGUUGUAUGUGUAUUUACCACAAUGUAAAAAAUAUUUUUUUUUAAUUAAAAAAAGACUGAGAGAUGGCAGGGAGAUCACUGGUCCAACAUCUUGAUUUGCAGAAAGAAAUGGGGCCGGGGGAGGGGCCCGUCUUCCCAAGAGGAUCCGCGACAGUGAGUGGCCAGUUGGGCCCAGAACCCAGGCCCCAUCUCUGUCCCCUGCCCCCCACGAGGAGGAGUUCCUCUUGCAGGAUGCUCCAGCCCACAGCACAGCACAUUGACCUGAAGUCAGGGGCCCUGGGGCCGCAGUCCCAGCUCAGGGAAGGAGGUACACCCCGGGCGGCCGAGCUGCGGCUCCCGUGACCUCAGACCCCAUCCUGAAGGUGCCAGGGCCCCGCAGGCCACACAGGAGUCAGGUGACACCCCGGGGA